AAGAAGAAGAAGAAGAAGAAGAAGAAGAAGAAGAAGAAGAAGAAGAAGAAGAAGAAGAAGAAGAAGAAGGGAAGAAAGAAAGGCUUCUUCUAAUGCCCAAGGAGCGUCAUUGACAGAGGAGCCCAUGCUGGGGGCCAUGGCGUUGGUGUGAGCUGUGUGCGGGUACUGAUGCGAGUGCAGAGGAGGCCCGUGGUUCAGGUGGUGGACCGGCUGCAUGGACCUGGCUGCAUGCGGGUCCCCAUACAUCGUGGAGGGGAUGCCUACUCCAUCCAUGCCCCCGUAAUGGGGUAGAUCGUCGUACUGCAUGACAAACAGGAGAAAAAGAAGGUUCAGGAGGCCAGGCGGGCAAAUGGGAGAACGGCAAGGCACCGAGCUUAUAUAAGGUCAGUCCAGCUGGAUCCUUCCACCCGGAAUUCGGUGGCCUUUCAUCUCUAAAGCUGAGUUUUCUUAUUUUAAAAUUAAGGCCUUAAGUAAAAAUUAUAGAAUUCUCAGCGAGAUUCAUCUGGGAUGAAUGAUCUUGCCUUAACUUGUGUCCCUAUCAACUAGUUCAGAAAUUCAGGCUCCUUUGGCAAGAAGGAAAGAAGAAAGACGGACAGAAAGAGCAUUCUCCGGAGGGUGGAAGGUGAAACGGGCAUGUCUCUGGAGGAAGAAAUUCAAAAUCACAGUAAUAAAACGUGCCAGGACACUGCAGCAGACCCGCCUAGUUUCACAGCCCCUUCACAUCAGGGGGAAUUAAAAAAAAAAAAGUUAUGAUGGGAACAGCUACGCCAAGCACGUGAAUUUAGACAGGCUUUUCAUUUUAUUUCCCUGCCAGCGUGAGGUUAGGCAGUCCUGCAAGACACUGCAUUUCUUUUGCUUUCCAAGACAAACUCUGCUAAUUAUACAAAACUAACGGACCCCUUAUAAGUGAAACUCAAAGAAGGGUAGCUUUUCCUGAACAUCAGAGCUGAAUUUAGAAUUGGGCAAUUCCCCACCCCCAAAGUUAAAGAAAAAUCUAUAGUUGAAGCAGCUAAUAUUCUAUUUUCUUGUUUACUCUUAUGAACUUUUUUUCCAGACCAGAAGUCAAGGAGGCAAAUGUUACUCACCAGGUUUAAAGCAAAUUCAAAAGCAAAUGCACAGAGAACCUCCCAUCUUCCUCUUCCAGAAAAAAACCCAAAAAACAAAAAACAAAACACUACUUUCAUAU